UGUUAAAGAUUUCAUCUAUUUUUUACUGUUAAAAACUAGCAUGAUUGAAUAAAUAAUCAGACAUUUACACGUGGCAUGCUAAGUGUACCUCAUGCUAACGUAUAGGAAUCGAUUUUUAAUAAUAGAAAUGGUUAGAAUUUUUAAUA
rfam:Gossypium hirsutum cultivar TM-1 chromosome 10, whole genome shotgun sequence